rnacentral:lncRNA from 1 species
AACUUGUGUUCUUUCUGUCUUUGCUCAAAUAUAUUCUGCUUUCGUUCUUUUACCUUUCUAGGUAGACGAUCACAUCUCUUCCCUUCUGAUCCUGAUAUUCCUUCUUUUGAUAUCUUUCCUGAAGCACCUCUCCUGGCUUUCUCUUCCCUGCUAAUGAGCAGCAGAGACCUGGGAGCACCUUUGAAUUCCUCUUCGUAUCUCAUGUCCUAGUACAGAAUAAUAUUCAAUAAAUAUUGCUAAAAUGUUU